GAUGAACGCUGGCGGCGUGCCUAAUACAUGCAAGUCGAGCGAACGGACGAGAAGCUUGUUUCUCUGAUGUUUGCGGCGGACGGGUGCGUAACACGUGGAUCAUCCCCCUAUAAGUCUGGGAUCACUUCGGGACACCGGCGCUUAUCCCGGAUAAUCUUUUGAACCGCAUGGUUGAAUAGUGAAAGACGGUCUUGCUGUCACUUCUAGCUGGAUCCGCGCUGCAUUAGCUAGUUGGUAAGGUAACGGCCUACCAAGGCAACGAUGCAUAGCCGACGUGAGGGGGUGAUCGGCCACACGGGAAGUGGGACACGGUCCAUAGUCCUACGAGAGGCAGCAGUAUGGAAUGGGCCGCAGUGGGCGAAAGCCUUACAGAGCAACGCCACGUGAGAGAUGAAGGUCUUCGGAGCGUAAUGCUCUGUUAUGAGGGAAGAACAGAUGUGUAAGGAGCUGAGGACAUCGUGACGGUACCGAAUCAAGAAGCCACGGCUAACUACGUG
rnacentral:rRNA from 1 species